rnacentral:tRNA from 1 species
CAGGGAAUAGUUUAAAUAGAACUUCAGCUUUGGGUGUUGAUAGUGGGGC